rnacentral:misc_RNA from 1 species
UUAUGUAACUGGGUUGCCUGAUGAUGUCACGGCCGAAGAAGUGGUUGAGGUAUUUUCCAAGUGUGGGAUAAUCAGAGAGGAUACUGAAACGAAAAAGCCUCGCGUGAAGAUCUAUGUUGACAAAGAGACGAGAAGAAUUAAGGGAGAUGCAUUAGUUACAUAUUUGAAGGAACCAUCAGUUGAUUUGGCUAUGCAAAUUUUGGAUGGGACACCUUUACGUCCUGGUGGCACAGUCCCUAUGACAGUCAGCCAAGCCAAGUUUGAGCAGAAGGGCGAUAGAUUUAUACCCAAAAAGGUAGAUAAAAAGAAGAAAAAGAAGCUUAAGCAGGUUGAGGAGAAGAUACUUGGUUGGGGCGG